CGGACGGGUGAGUAACACGUGGAUAACCUACCUAUAAGACUGGGAUAACUUCGGGAAGCCGGAGCUAAUACCGGAUAAUAUAUUGAACCGCAUGGUUCAAUAGUGAAAGACGGUUUUGCUGUCACUUAUAGAUGGAUCCGCGCCGCAUUAGCUAGUUGGUAAGGUAACGGCUUACCAAGGCAACGAUGCGUAGCCGACCUGAGAGGGUGAUCGGCCACACUGGAACUGAGACACGGCCCAG
rnacentral:rRNA from 1 species